UUGCGAUAGUUCAUUUCCAUCGUGGCGAUUGCUGGAAGAAGACAUCGAGACGUCGUCGAACACGGACGAGCGGGCCUGACCCUUCGCUGCCUGUGGAGUAGGUGCGACCUGCGAGUCACCUGGUGCGGAUGAAAUCACAAUGGAGGCCACAAAAAUCAUAUCAAGCAAAUUGUUGAGAAUCGAAUGGCCAAGUAUCGAGUGAAAAUUGAACACUGACUCACUUCACCGGGAAUCGCUCUGAAAAUAAUUCAAAAAUUUCUUUCUACUACUGCUGCUCUGUACACUGACCCCUUCACCAGGAAUCGCUCUGAAUAUAAUUCAAAAAGUACUUUCAACCACUGCUGCUCUGCACACUGACCCCUUCACCAGGAAUCGCUCUGAAAAUAAUUUAAAAAGUACUUUCAACCACUGCUGCUCUGCACGCUGACUCACUUCACCAGGAAUCUUUCCAGAAACAUGUUACCAGAUCUUCUCGAUCCAACUAUUACUGCCCUGAAGCCUUAAAAUCAAGAACACUCAUUCAUGUGAAUGGCUCGCAAGUGGUUUUUUUCAAUGACUGUCUAUAAUUAUGCAUGAUUAACUUAACUCUUAUUAACUCAAUAACAUGACUAACCUCACUAACUUAAUUAGGCAGUUAAUAUAAAAACCACUUGUUGAGUUUUACUAUGAAGGUCUUAAUGGGGUUACGUGGAAGACACCGCUGCAUGAUUAAUCAGAGUAAACAACUUCAAGCCAAGUGCUCUUCAACGCUCAAGUUGCUCAUGAGUGAAAACAAUCAUUUGAUCUACUAAUUAUGCUGUCCGUCCGUCCGUCCGUCCGUCCGUCCGUCUCUUCACCAGAGAAGAUGCCUACUAUGAUUUAUUAAAUAGUUAAGUGCUUAGAUGUUAAUGAAAUAAUGAAUAAAUAUAUUGUAUUUAAUUUAA